GAGAAAUCUGAGCCUCAGCCUCGCCAGGAGCAGGCUUUGCACAAACUAUCUGGUUUCAAGUUGCGACUCUCCGGAGUCCCUGGGAAGGUGCCCCAGGGACAGGGCCCCCAGGAUUGAUGAGACUCCCCCAUCCCCAGCCGCCCAGAGGAUAAGCAGGUGCCAUUGGAAGCCAGAAGAAGCCAUCAGUUCUACUGAGGCUGGAGCUACAGGUAGUCGUGAAUUGCCUGAUGUGGAUUCUAGGACGGAACUCCAGUUCUCCACAAAAGCAUCAAUUAUGUUUCUGCUUUGGAGCUUCUGGCAAGCUGUUGAAGGAGGUAUCUAUAACUACCGUGAUUCUGGACCCUACGAAGAGACGUUCAUGAUGCUUCACACAUUCCACAGUUCUUCACAGCCUGUGAACCGUCAUGCUACUAAAAGAAUGUCCACAUGAAUACUGUUGGGGGAAGUAACCACGUGAAGACUUUAGAAAAAGACCCCCUUGGGCCCAGUCCAGUCCCAGCUGGUCCAUUACCGGACAGCGAGCAAGAGCAAAGGACACAGUGUCUGAGGGUGGUGUCUGUCAGAGCACUACAGCCUCCAGCAAGAAGUGGGAGAGGUCCCGAGCUACCUGCUCUGCCAUGCCAGCUGGCAGGACCUGGGAGAGGUGGAAACAGCUUGGGGCUGCAGAGGAGCUGAGAGGUGCAGAGGAAAAUGGGGGUCACCAGGUGAACACCAGACUUGCUUUUUGUUCAGCUUUGCUGAGAAACCUAGCCAUAAGAGGAGAUGGAAAGAGGUAAGAGCCAGAGGUUAUGGAUGCCUCAAAGGAAGCAGUGUCCUCCAGACACAACAGGACUGAUGCACACAUGAGCUCACAGAGACUGUGUCAACACAAACAAGAUUUCUUUCUGGGAGGGAGGGGCUUGUUGACACCUCCCACUUAGAGCAGAGUGUGGAACUGAUAUUGUUAAUUGGCUCUAACCUGUGAGCUUGUGGCUAUUUUCUUCAAUAUAUUAUUUUAUCUUUCCUGUAAUUUUCAUAGCCUCUAAUAAAGAGUAUGUUGGAGUUUU
rnacentral:lncRNA from 1 species